AAGAACUUCUCUCCAUUGAGAUCACUGUUCAUGGAUCUUCACAUGGGCAGUCACACUUAUUUACGUGCAGUGUCCCUGGCCCCAGUGAUUUCUGUAGCAAUCGAGAGGGGUUGGAGUGAGUCAGCAAGUCCAAAUGUGCGGGGUCCACCUGCACUUGUGUUCAAUUUCUCUCAGUUGGAAGAAAAGCUUUCGGCUGGUUACAAGGCUACAACUGCUGGAAAAUUUUCUGAAGCCAUUCGGUAUUUUGUGGCUAUUCUUCAAACAAUUCCACUUAUUGUUGUUGAGUCACGAAGAGAGGUGGAUGAAGUUAAAGAGUUGAUUAUCAUUGUGAAGGAGUAUGUUCUGGGUUUGCAGAUGGAGCUUAAGAGGAAGGAAUUGACUGAUGAUGUAGUUCGUCAGCAGGAAUUGGCAGCUUAUUUUACCCACUGCAAGCUCCAAGUUCCUCACCGGAGACUUGCACUGUUGAAUGCCAUGAUUGUUUGCUAUAAAGCACAAAACCUGAGUACUGCAGCCCAUUUUGCCAGGGAGCUUCUGGAGACAAAUCCAACUGCUGAAACCCAAGCCAAAAGAGCCCGUCAAGUACUGCAGGCUGCUGAGAGGAAUAUGAGAGAUGCUACACCGCUGAAUUAUGACUUCAGAAAUCCUUUUGUGGUGUGUGGGUCCUCGUACACCCCAAUAUACCGGGGGCAGAGAGACGUGACUUGCCCUUACUGCAGUACACAUUUUAUCCCAUCGCAGCAGGGAGAGCUUUGUACCGUUUGUGACCUUGCAGAAGUUGGAGCUGAUGCAUCUGGUUUACUCUCUUCGCCAUCACAGAUCAGAUGAUCAGCCUUCUUUCCGUGGUUUGUUUGUGGCUUUCACUAGCAACACACAUGAAAUCAUUGGGUGACUUUCAUCUCACAAACAAAGAGGUAGGCUUAUCAAACAACGAUGAGGUUUCAGUCGGAAUUAAAUCUAUGUUUUAUAUGUGUUUUAAUUUUGCAAUCAGUUUUCUCAACACCCCCCCACCCCCCAAAUUCUUUUUGUUCCAUGAUCACAAUUUUCUUUGUAAUAAUGUAUGUAAGAUUUUUUACUUUGGCCAUUCUUAUGACGCCUGAGAAUUUAGUACACCUGGUGCAGUGGUAAACUAUAUUGCCUGUUUUUAGCUAAGUGAUCAUAAUUUUUUUCCCCUUUCCGCAGAUGUAAUAGACAUUUUGCCUUCUAAAUUUACCUGUGCAACGACUGCCAUUUUUUGCUGGCUUCGUUUCCCCCUGUUACUGUUGGUAUACAAGAAAUGUUUCUGUUGGUAUACAAGAAAUGCAUGUUUCGUAUACAGUAUUCUAUAUUCUAUAGGACUAAAAAAACUAGAUUUUAGCUUUCUUUUAUUCCUCAGUACCAUCUAAUAAUCUGUUUGUACACUUCGAUAUUAGGAAAUUAUUUGGUAAUUGGUGGUUAGUUUGCUUAUUGGAUUUAUUAUUUCAGGUAUGUCAUUUAGUGCAUGUUUGAUGCACAAUAUAAAAGAAAAUUGUCCCAUGUACAGGGGAAAUUUCACACGAUACGAUGGGACAGGUAUCCCCCUGUAAUUGGCCAAGGCAGAAAACACCCGUCCCCCUCUAUUGACCCCGUACAUUUUUCCCCGUACCUGUAGCAUGUUUCUUAACCCAUGCCAUUAGGAUCUUCUUUAGUACCAUAAUUUGUUGGCUUUUAGGUUUGUAGUUUUUGGGGUAGUCGAUCUUCCAUAUAUACCAAGUAGAGAGAGAAUAAACAGAAUCCUGGGGGUCGUGUGACAGUUAACAAGGCCUGGUAUAAGAAUUUUGAGGCUCUAUAAUUUCAUUUUCUAAUACACAAAAAGCAUAGAGAUAGAGGAAUCAAAUGCAUUUUUGCCAUCGAACUGUCAUGAAAUAAUAAGAUCAUACAUAUGUAUUUAUUUCACAUUUUCCUACUAACAUAUCAAUCCUUAUCUUAUCUCCCAUGAUGAGUCAUUCUUCAUCUGCUGCUACCUCAAUGGUUUCUACAACUUCCACAAAAGAAGUUGAUAAUCUUGACACUUUGCUCCUUUCUGAGAAUUUCAUGUCAAUCAAUUUUCAACUUCCUGACAGAAGAAGUUGAUAAUCUUGACACUGCUCUUUUCUGAGAAUUUCAUGUCAAUCAAUUUUCUUCAACAUCUUCUAUCAUCAACCCUUCAAUCUCUUCAUUCCUGGUUUAACAGUUUUAGUUCAAAGAUUGCAAUUGCUUGUUGGAGAAAAAUGGCUCGAUGAAUACUUGCAAAAAAAAAAACACAGCUCAUUAACGUGUAGAUGCCUUAAGGGACUAUGUCCAGUAACCAGAAUAUUGUCUCCAAAUUGGGAAUCUCAGUGAUCAUUAGUUGACCAGUUCUCUUGAGAUUAGAAAUAGUACUCAUCAAUUUUUCCAGCCGUCUAAUUCCCAUUUUUACUGCUUGCUUUCUCCUUGAUGACACUGCCUUCACUUCACUUUGUGGAGUGAGAUCCACCUCCCAAUCAAUAACAAUUCAAAACAUUCAGAAUCCUUUUCCAAAUUUUUUACUUUUGAGCAUGUUUGGCUAGACCUCAAACAAGCUUGGCUACUUUAUUACUUUUAAUUAAAAAAUAAUAAUCUUUUUGGUAAGCAACCCUAAACUCAUCGUGAAAAUAACUUAGUUCAAGGAAUUUUACUUGUAACAUUGAAUUUUAAGCUCUGCCCGAAAAUUCACUCAUCAAAUCAUUGUACUUGAAACACAAUUCAUCCAAUUCCUGAUUGAUAAUCUGCAAUAUACAGCCAAUAAAUUACACAAAUAGUCAAAUAACUGAGAGUAUUAACCAGUAUUGAAAAGUUCAGCAUUAAAAAAAUAACUUUGUACUAAAUAACCAUUAACCAGUAUUCAUCAAAUUAAGCAUUGUUUGGAAUUGUACCUUUGAAGAGCCCUGUAAAACAAUACCAGAAAAUGGGCAAUCAAUCGAUUUCAUGGGAGAUUCGAGAAUUGUAGAGGCAGACUUUGGAGAGGAGAAUUCAUGAAAUCGAUUGUACAAUUGUCUUCCUGUACCUAAAUGUGUAAAAUCAUUGGAAAAAGCUGGACAGGCAAGCUCAAUUGCCAAGUAGUGAGUUGGGCAAUUUUUGAUUAGCAGUUUUUUGUUUAAAUUUUUUUUACUUGCCAAUCAUAAACAACCAAGUAUACGUGUGUCAAAACUCGUCAUUCAUCUUGUUUGUGCAGCAUCUCUCAAAAUCAUUAGUAUGAUAAUCCCCACCCCCACCCCCACCAAAAGUUAAAUCGUGGAAUCCAUCCAUAUGUUUUAAUAUCCAACUUUAAAAAUCAAAUUCAAAGUUUGUUCAUUCAAAAAUCAUAUAUAAAUAAAUUCUAAAUAUUAAUAAUAAUAUUAUAAAAAUUAUUAUACAUAUCCACCCCAAAACCAUCUACCUUAUCAAACCCUGAUUACUACCCUAUCAAACUCUAAUUAUUUUUCAAUAUCUUCAUUCUCUCUCUUUAAAGUUACGGUCGCCCAUUUUUCUCUCCCAAUCCCCUCUUUCUUCUAUACAGUGGUUGAGCGAUGUAGACGAGCGCUAGAGCGCAGUCGGAGAGACGACGACAAGUGUCGUGCACAGAGCAAUAGCUACAAGUGUCACUUAGCUAGUAUGCGACAAUGGUGACACUGCAUGCUUUCUCGUCGGAGUGGCUAUGGGUGGUGUUGUUUCUUAUGUGAGACCCAAGUGAGCGUCACGCCGUCGCAAGUGAGAUCACCACUUGUUCAACUCGUUGCUCUUGCCUCUUAUUCCUUUCCUGAUUCAGCCCCACCGUAUGUCGUUGUUGAGACUUGCUGUGUGCGUUGGCUGGGAUUUACAGCUCCGCGAUCUGUGUGAAUUUUUUAGUUGUGUUUUUAGUUGGUGAGUAGGGGUGUGGUGGUGGUGUUUGGGUGGCGGUUGCAUUGUUGGUCUAGCAGUGACGAAGGUUAUGUUGGAUCUGGUAGUGGCUGUAGUGUUAUUGGUGGCGGGGGUGGUGGCUCUUGUUGUUGGCGUUGGUGGUUUUGAAGUUGAAAAUGAUAAUUUGUUGUAGGUGGCAGUGUUGAUUUGCUUGAGAUGGUGAUGUUGCUAUCAAGAGUUGGGGGUGGUUACAAAUUAUUUAGUUGAUUGUGAUAAUUAAAUUCGUUAAUUUGUGACCAAUAAACAAUAUGUAAUUAAUAAAAAAAGAGAAACUGUGACCAAUAAAUAGUGUGAUAUAAAAAAUUAUUAAUUUUUGAUUGAUAAUUUGAUAAUUUGUGACUGUAUAAUAAGUUAUAACUUAUAAUAUUUGUGAUUUGUGAUCGAUAAAUAAAUUGUGACUUAUAAGUUUUUGAUUUGUGAUUGAUGAAUAAAUUGUGACCUAUAAAUUUUUUUAAUUGCGACCGUAAAAUAAUUUGUGACUGAAAAAUAAUAUGCGAUUAACUAAUCGUUAAUAUGAGACUAAAUUGUAUAGAUCUGUGAUUUUAAUAUAUUUAAUUAAUAAAAUAUAUAAUUAAUUAAUUAAAUCAUAAAUAAAUUUUAAUAGAUAUCUGAUUUUAAAGAUUUGAAACUUUUGUUUUUAAUUUUGAAAUGGUUGAUUCUUAAUCUCCUAGUUAUGAAAUUUUCUCAUAAAAGUUAGUGGAUCUCAUGAAAAGUAGAUAAAAAUUGUGGGUCAAAUGAAAAUUGAAGCUUGGUCAUCUUUGUAAGAAAUGGAAGUUACCAAAUAAGCACUUACUAUCCAAAACAACAAAUACUUCACUAUACACGCUCGAAUACACUUGGUAGUUGUGAUUUUUUUUCUGAGCAGUCUCAUUCUUACCAUGUUAAUUAUAAGUAAUGACAAUAAAAUUCUAUUCACUCGAGUAUAUCUCAUAAAAUUCAUUGGGUCAAAAUAAGAAAAUCAUCUUGUUCAUGGUAAAUUAAGAAAAAAGUAAGGGGGAAAUUAAUUUUAUCCUUGGACUAGAGCAAGAAUUCUUUGCUAUAAAAAAAUACUUAUGCCAAUGGCAAAAACAUAGAGCCCUAAGAUUUCAUCAAAAUGCUUUUAUGGUUGUGAAAAGUUGUUGAAUCCAUGUGACUCUGUGUGCUUUCUUAAGUCAAAUUAUGAUUCAUAACUGACCAAUAAAAGAGAAACCUAAGUUGGUCUGCAAAAAUACAAACCCCCACCUUAAAUCCAUACAAUAUUAAAGAACUAAAAUAAGGUUUCUUUCUUCUUUUUUCUCAAUGUAUAUAAUGAUGAUGCUUUAGCACAUGGACGGCUAGGGGACCCACACAAAGUUGUCAUGGUCCCACCAUGUGAUGACUGGGAUUUGGACCAUCUUCCUCUAGUUAUAGUUGUUGAGUAGGCUUUGAACUUUACUUUAAUGUAUAAGAAACAAAAGUUUCUCAAAUUGGCUAUAUAGACUUGCUUUUUAUGAUGUGAACCCAUGUUCUAUACAAUAUGUUUAUUAUGGUACAUAGACAAUGGAUAAAUAUAUGAUCUAUCUUUUUUAGAUUUGCCUCCUACCGACCUUCAGAACUUGAUAAGGUACUAAGCCCUAUAUAUAAUAUCGAGUUACUCCCUCCGUCUCAAUUAUAUAGGUUGAGUUUUCUUUAUCUCUUGUUCCAAAUAUAUAAGUCUAUUUCCUAAUUUAGGAUAUUUUAUUUGAUUACUUUACUAAUAUACCAUUAUUCAAUUUUUCCCACUUAACAUACUAACUUGAAGUCAUCCAAAUACACACAUUUCUCACUUCUGGAAAACAUGGAACAGAUCCCAUUUCUUCUUCUUUAAAUUAAAUCAUUCAAAUUCUUUAUAAAUUCCAACAAUAAUUUACUACUACAUACUGAAAAUUAAAUAUGGAUAAAUUAGGAAAUAUCUUGUUAAAAAUUAAUUUUUCAAUGACAUUAAAGAAGAUUUUCUUAAUUCAUGUGAAAAAUGAAAUAAACUUAUAUAAUUGGAACGAAGGGAGUAAUAUUUAGCAGUCAUGUUUUUUAUUUUUUAUUUUUAAUAAAAACACGUGUUAAUCCUAGGGAAUAUGCUACUGGUACCAAAAAAUAGUACAUAAACGAUUACAUAAAAUGAUGUGGAGGGAAAAAAUUAGAUGAAAAAAUUGACUAUGUUUUAAACUGACAAAUGAUAGAGUAGCGUGUGACAUUAUGUAAGUUAUCAUAUAAAGUUUGAUGUAUAUGUAGUAAAAUCUUAAUCCUAGACUUAUGUUGCUUUUCUGUUCUCAAAGAUAGGAGGACCCUUUAGCUUGAAAUUGCACAAUCAUUUUGCUAAAUUCCUUUAAGCUUAAUGCUAGCUUUGACCAAUUCAAUAUAUCGAACGUGCAAAUAAAGCACCAACAAUGCAUAAUAUGGAAUUAUUCGCCCUUAUUAAAGACUUUAUGGUCAUGUUUGUAAGUUUGUCAAACUUAUAUGUAUGUAUAAACUUUCAUAAAUGUGAACUAGUUAAGUCAAGUUUUGAGUGGAUCGAGUAGUGCUUAAUUGAUUUAAAAUUGUGACAAUAGCUUAAUUGGUUUUCAAAGAAAGAUUGAAAUUAUAUUUUUUAUUUCAUUAAAAAUGUAUUCAACCUUGACUUCAUUGUCCAAGUGCCAAGCACAUCAUAAAUCAUUUACACGACAUGAAUAAACCUUUUUUGUUGAAUCAAGAUUUUGUUGAUAACUCGAGCUUGAGCUCUAUGCAAUAAUCGCUGAGUAAGAAGGUGUUAUUGAAGUCAAUAUUAAUUACAGAGUGCUGGCUAAUUGAAGGGUCCUAGUUCAUACCAUAGAAAGCAAAAGUGAUAUGGUUAAAGCUUUAUCAAAGUGAUAAAAUUAAGAACCCGUCACGAUAACUUCAAAUUUCUCAACGCCGGAAGCAAAUCAUAAAAUCAAAUGUGCUAUAGAGCAAAGUGACAAAUCAAAAAAUUUGGAGGUUUUAUCCAUCACUAAAAAUUAAUCAUGUUGAUAGCUAAUGGUACAAUUUCUCUAGGAAACUUUCACCGUUUAGAUGUUGAUAGCUAAUGGUACAAUUUCUCUAGAAUAAAGUCAUGUCGUCAGAUGAAUUUUGCCCAUCUAAAUGAUUGACUCUCACAUUGGCAUGAGACCUGCGGCAACCUCAUGUGAAUAAAAAAUGUAAAAAAUGACACUCCACCCAACCCAACUGUGAGUGUAGGUCAGCAGGGGUGUCAAAAUAAUUCUGGCACCUAGCAUGAUUGAUUUCUCUGGGAAUCUUGAUAAAGACAUUUUCAUAAUAGUUAUUUUCAAAUAUUAAGUCAUUUUUCGGACCUAUUUUUUCAAAUUUAUUUUUAAUCAUAUAUUUUAUAAUAUUCAUGAUUUUUAAUAAAUUUUUAAUCAUGUAUUUCACCAAUUUUUAUCGUAAUUUAUUAUAAAUCAUUCCCCCGGCCCCCCCAGCCCCCUAUGUUCAACAAGAUUUAUCCAAAAAAAAAAACAAACCGAGGCUAAAUGAAUGAAAUAUUAAUUGAAAAGACUUGUACAGACAGUCAAGCACAAGGCUCGAGAGAGCAUUAUCGGGACUCACGCAUUUUCUUUUAUGCACCAACCAACCAUCAAUCAAAUGAUUCAAAUUCUUCCCUUGUCCAUGAAUAGUAAGCUAAUUAUUUUUCACUUCACAGCUUAUUUGGGAGCGAUUUUUUGCCUCAAAAAAUUAAUUUUAUGACCAUUAUUUUACUAUUACAGUCGUCAUAUUUGACUUUUUCUCUCAUAGAUGGACCCCACUUUUCUCCUAACGGUCAAAAAAUCAAUUUUCAAAAUCACUCCCAAACAGGCGCUCAAUUUGGGUGCAAAUAUCCUAAUUCGAACGUGACAAAUAACAAAAAAGCUUCAGCUGAGAUUCAACAGGGAUUACAAUUUAAAUUUUUAUUAAAAUCAAAGUUAAUAAAUAUUUUAAAUUAUCAGUUUCAUAGAAUUUAUAAUUUUUCAACCAUUUAUUCUAUUAAAUUUUCUAAACAUCUUCUUUUAAUCUAAACCAAACAGGGGGACAAUGAAACGUUGCGGUUCAAUUUGAUUCUUUUUAGAUGAAGGAUAAACUCUUAUGAGACAUUAGGUUAGGGACCAACAUGGAUUCUCUCUCUCUUAAUUAUUAUUAUUAUUAUUUAAUUUUAUGGGAGUAAAUUUGGGGAAUUGGGCCCGACCAUGAGUCUUAGUAGAUUUGGAAAGAAAGGAAAAUUGAGACCAAGAUUCACCAUUCGAUGUGUUAGAAAGAAUCAGAGAUGUGGCAUAUAGACUGGCACUGCCACCAGAACUUUCAGCAGUGCAUAAUGUUUUUCACGUAUCAAUGUUGCGAAAAUACUUACAGGAUCCUAAUCAUGUGAUCAACCAUCAAAAUUUAGAUGUACAACAUGAUUUGACCUAUGAAGAAAUGUCAUUGAGGAUACUAGAAAGAAAGGUUCAUGUACUGAGAAAUAGGGAUAUUCCCUUAAUCAAGGUCCUAUGGCGUAACCACAGAGUGGAAGAAACAACUUGGGAAAAGGAAGAUGAGAUGAAAAUCAAGUAUCCCGAACUUUUCAACUAAUCUAAGGUAAAUUUCGAGGACGAAAUUAUUUUAAGGAGGGUAGGUUGUAGAAUCCCGAAUUUUUAACUUAAAUUCGCAUAUAUUUUUAUUUGCCAUUUAAUAGGAAUGCAAUGUUUGGUUAAGUUCUUAUGCAAGUUAAUUUAUUAUCUCUAUCGUUAUCUUAUUAGUUGAGGGACCAAAUUGAAAAAAAUAAAAAUCAAAUUAUUUUAUACUUUAUUAAAUGGGCCAAAUAGUUAACUAUUGAAGGAGUUAGAAUUACUCUACCAAUAUUGGGUUCAUUUUGAAGCUCAUAAUAAAUGGUGAAUUAUGGACUCAAGAAAAAUUUAAUUUGGUCAAGUUAAACCCAAGUUUUAGCAGUUUAAAGAAUGUUAUGGUUAUAAGAGUUUUAAAGGAUUAGAUUUUUCGUCAGUUGACUGCCACCACUAGUUUAACUAAAUAAACUAGAAUUUUAAGUUUUGGCUAAACAAAGUCUUUUUGUUAAGUAUUAAUAAUUAUACAUUUUUAAUUAAGAGGUAAUCAAUUAAAACGUAAUUCCUGCUUACAAAUUUAGUUAAAUGCAAAUCAAAGGAAUUUGAAUUAUUUGAUGUUAGACUUUAGUACAUGAGUAACCCAUGCAUUUCAUUACAACUUUCACGUGUCCAUAUAAUUAGUAAUCGUUGUGUCCCCUAAUUGGAACAAAUUUUGGGAAGAUUGGACUGAAAUUCUAAUUUAAUUAAUAAGCAUACAUUUUAUAAUUUUCGGCCAUUAGGAGAUUGACAAUUUAAGAUGUUUGUAUUAGAGUAAAUUAUGCAAAUGGGAGGCAGAUUUGUUUUCCCCGUCCACGUGUAAAAGUCAUGCAGUGUAAUGCCUAUCAUUUCCUUGUUGUAAUUGUAAUUAAUAUAGAAAUUGGCAGAAAACCAAUAAUUAAUCUCCAGUCAUACUAUAUCAAUCGGGAAUUAUGAAUCAAUUUCUCAGAAGAUUGCAUGAAAUACGAAUUUAAAUAUGGCUGAAAUUCCACUUCCCCCACGUGAUUACCCGACUUCAACAGUAUAAAUAGAGCACUAAAACCACAUUCUACUACACGUCUAUUACCUCUCCCUCUUUAAAAUAUUCCUCUAUAUUAUUUAGAUUUUUUAAAGCUUUGGAAUUGUAAUCACAUUUCUGCAAUUUUAUUCUCCACUUUCAUCUUCAAAAGGUGAGAUACUCAGUGCUAUUAGUGGUUUUUCCACAUCUUUUCAAAUACGUUAUUAUGAAUUUAAUUACUUCAAUUCAGGCUCCUUCGGGAGAAAUCAUGAUACAUUUUAAGGCACAAUUUAUCCUUCACGUUAUUUUCAAGGCACGAUUUAGCCUUCACGUUAUUUUGCAGCGCUUGGUAGAAUUAUCAUUUGUCAUGGUGUGAUAAUUCUCAUGUUAUGUUGGUAAGAUAAUUUAUUUGUAAUUUCAUGUUUGACUUGAAUAUGGAGUACCAAGUAUCUCAUUGAGUAUAAUUCGUUAUACUCAUCCCCUUAUUUACAAUUUUCAGGUAAUAACUAGUAUGUUGGACGGCGGUGGAUGGAUUUGCUAUUGGACCAACGGAUCCUCGUCAUGAAGUAUUUUAAUUUUCAAAAAUACUAGAACUAAUAAUGGGUUAUUCAUUUUUGACCCAAUUGUGAGUGCAUUAUAAAUUUUCAAUUAGUUUUAACUGUUCUAAUAAUUUUUGGAUGAAUGAUAUGUUUUCAAACAUUCCGCAUAUUUAAAUUUAUCUUUUGAUUAAAUGUUAUUCAAUCUUUUACAGAAUUUCUCGUUAUAUUAAAACUGUUUAUUUCAAGGUAUAUUCAUGUUUCGUAACGUUUCGGGUUAUUAGAAUUCGGGGCGUUACACCAUCAUAUUUUUGGCAUAGAGUCUUGCCAAUUUUUCAAAGAGUUGACGAGAAAAUGAUAGUUUUAUUACAACGUUCAGUAAGAUUAAAGAGCAUUUGAAGUCAUUUUUUUUUUCUAAACUACAAAUAUAACGUUUCUUUUUCUGAUGUUAUGUGUUUUGUUUAUGUUAAUUGGCAUGUACAUUUAGUAGAAUUAUAUUGUGAUGAUUGACUCUAGUGGAAAAAUUAUUUGACGUUAAACUCAGUAAAAUAGAUGAACCUACUCGUCACAUUGCACAAACAUUUGCACAUUCGUUACAAGAUUUCAAAUUAAUUAAUAAAAUAUUUAGUGUAUCUGUUACAAGAUGCAUAGUUAACAAUGUUAUUUUUAAGUCAUAUGCAUGAGUUCAUUUUUCUUUUCGUUCUAGGAAGAUAUUUGAAUAUAAUUGUCAUUUUAAGUGUUUACGGUGAAUGGUACAAUCUAGUGCUCAUAUAUUGAAAAAGAUACUUUAGGUAAAUUGGGGAAUGCAAAUAGGCAUAAAACGCUGCUUGCAUCCUAAUUUUCUUCAUAUUUUUUAAAUACGUAUUAAUGAAAUUCAAUUUAAUUUUUUUUCACAGUUGAGCGAAAUUAUAAUAGUUUAGGAACUUUGAUUUGUUACUGAAAUGAGAUAACUAUUUGUAAUCAAUUUCGAAACAACGCUAUCUUGAAUGGGAGGUAUGCAUUUUUUCUUCCAUAAAAUUUAAACAUGUUUUUGUUUUGUAAAAUAUAAAUCCUAUUUUUAAAUUUAAAUUUUGUUACACCCUCUUUGUUAAACAUUUAUUUUGUCUUCUUAAGUGUAGGAGUGGCGAUUCUUUGCUAUCCUAAGUAUGUGUCACAAUGAAAUAUACAUUCAAAAUUGUUUUUCAUCGUGUACCAAUUAAUUUUUUUUUUCUAGUUGUAGUGUUUGAUCCUCGUCUCAAAUUUCGUAGGGCCAAACAUUGCUUCAAUUACUUCAAAAUAAUUUAAAUUUUACAUUUGGUACAAAUAUAUCCCCAUUAUGAAGAAGAACUAAAGAAUUGUGUAAUUUGUGCUUUGAUUUGAACCACGUGGAUUUUAUUUUUACCGAGUUCGAAAUAUACGAAACUAAUAUACUUGGAUCACUAAAUGAAACGAAACAAUAGUAUGGGUUGCCUUCUUCAAUAUAAUCCAAUAAUGGAAUGCACAGCGAUAUAAAAUCCAAUAUUGUCUAUUAUAGCUCGAAUUCGAUAACAGCACCCCUUCAUCAAUAUUUACAGACAUAAGGCCUAUCAUUUAAGACAAUAUAUUAAAUCAAGAUGCAUUGCAUGACCUAUGCAAUAUAGGCACGUACAUAUACGUAUAUGCGUUGAUAGUAAUGGCUGAAAUUUUACUAUUAAAAUUUUUAAGACAUUCAAAUGAAUCAUUUUUAUAAGGGAAAAUUUGGGCCGGGUUUUCUAACUUUCAAUGAUUAUGUUCCAAUCUUCAAAAGUGAAGUUCUGGAUCAUUAACUUUUUUAAAUACACGUGUGAAAGCUAUAAAUAUAGACAUUAAAAUCUCUCGUGAUUUAAAGUUAGCGGACAAAACCAUCAAACUACUUAUUUACGUUGACAUUUUCUAUUACUAUGAAUAUAGAUUAAAAUAAGUUGAGAACAAAGAUCCUACUCUUUAAGGUUAGGAACUAAGGUUACGCUAUUUGAAAGGUUGAGUGAUCAGCACUAAACACACAACUUAUAAACACAGAUUUUCUCUUGCCAAUUGAAACUUUUGCAUGCACAAAAUUUAAAGGGUUGCUCCUACAUACUCUUUCGGUAUACAUUGUUGGAAUUUAUUUGUUUAAAUAGAUUUGAUUUAAUGUUUUUAAUAUAUUUGAAUUGGAAAUGUUUCCAAUUGGUGAAUGACUAGUCUCGGCUUUUCAAAAGUAAAUGGUGCAUAUUGAAAAGUCAUGUUUUCCGAAUUGAAUAUGACUAAAAAAUGUCGAUAAAAAGUUAUGAAGUUUGAUAAUUUAGACUAUAAGAUCAUGAUAAUUUAAAAAAGUAUGAUCUAAUGAUCCAAAUUAAUUUAUGCCUCUAUUCAAAAAAGACAUAUUGAAUCUAUAAAUUGAAUUUAUUUCUUCCAUUUUCUUCACUCAAAAUCAAUUUGUUGAAUUAAUUUCUAUUCUUUCCUUCUCCAAUUUUUUUCCAAAUAAUUCUCAAAUUAUUUUCGAGUGUUAUUGUUCAAUAUUUUAAUAUUUGAUGUCGUUUGAUUUAGAAGACUACAUGUAAGUUUUGGUUAGUCAAACAAAAUAAAUAUCAUACUACAUUAAUUUUGGAAGAAGCGUUACAUUAAGAAAGAUAUAUGUCAAUUUGAUCUUGUUAGUACAAGUAUAGGGGAUGAAAUAGCUAUUUUAAGGAGAUUUGCUAUCUCAUAGCUCACUUGUUUCAUUUUACCUCAUUUUAUUUUUUGUAUUUUCUAUGUUUCAGUAAGUUACAAUUAGGGUCCGUUUGAUUGUAAAGAUGAAAUUUGGGUGGAAAGAAAACGAAUUUUAGGGAAUUGAAUUGCCUAGAAAUUAUUUUCACGGGAAUUGUCAAUUAAUAGUGUUUUUAUAAUUUUCUACUUGAAAAAUGUUGAAAUUAAAGUGUCAUUUGGUGUUCGUUUGACUUUGUUUUUCAUAAAAAUUGUCAAUUUAAGAGAUAUCUUAUUUUACAAUUGUUUAUAGAAUUUGUUUCCAUUGAUUAAAAAAAAAAUCUAGCAAAAUUGAGAAUCAUCCAAAAAUAAUCUAUAUUUUAGUGUUCGUUUAACUUUGUUUUACAUUGAAAUUGUCAAUUUAAGAGAUAUUAUCUUUUACAAUUAUUUCUAAAAUUUGUUUUUAUUGCCAAAAAAAAAAAAAAAAUCUGCAACAAAAAAAAAGGUUGGAAAAGCAAUUCCCACCUAUUUGGUGGGAAUUGCAAUUCGCUAAAAAGCUAGAAAAGCCAUCACGUGAGGCAAGAAGUGGAAAAUGAAUUCCAUGCCAAUUUUUGGCCAUCCAACACACUUAAAAGAUGGAAAAUGGAAUUUAUUUUCCAAGUUCCAUGGAAAAAGGAGGGCUAUCAAACGAUGCCUUAGGAAUUGAGAAAAUACCCGUUAAACCUGAUACUCGUAGAGCCUUUCCUUGAGUAGGUGUGAGAGAUUCUCCACAUAAUUGAGUACUUGGAGUGGGAUGAGGGUGAGCGUGGGGGUGGGGGCCCUGGAAAGGGGACAAGUACAAAAAAUAUCGUAUUCAUCCAAUUUAAAGUCCAUUUCAAAAUAUGAGUUUUUGAUCACAUAAAAAGAAAAGAAUCAUCAUCAUUUCUAAAUGGAAUAUUGACUAUUCUACAAAUUGCAAGAAAAGUAAUUAUUUUCACUAACUAAAGAUAUAAAAAAAAAAAAAAAAAUAGAAGCGAAAACAAAACAAAUAAAAAUAAAUGAUGACAGUAAACGGGGACAAGAAGCUUGCCCCAUCCUACUCCUCCUUAAGUGGGUGUAGGGGCCGGGCAACCAGCGUAAACUCAAAUGUGACGGGGGAACGAAAAUGGCUGUCUCGACCCCAAUCCAUCUUGUUGCCAUCAAUAGUCGCAAUUUGUGCAUAUUUUCAGGUACAUUUCUUGAUUCGCAAUUUGUACAUAUUUUCAUGUACAUUUCUUGAUUUUGGUAAGUCAAAAAUUUGUUCGGUAUUUUCCACUAGUAGUUAAGAUUUCAUCGAAUUUGUGUGCAUGUAUUUUUAAUUAAACCGAAUAUAAUUUAUGCAUUAAUUUAUCCAACAAUCUUAUGUUACAUUUCAUGUGCAUUCCAUAAUCAUAGGAGUGCAAACUUAGUUCUAUGGGAAAUUUACUUAGGCGAGCUCUUUAUCUCAUUUUCAAAACCCAAGAGAGUUUAAUGCCAAAUUAAUGAGCACAAUAGAGAAUCAAAGUUUUACAUGAGAGAUAUGAUCUAUUAUCUAGGUUUGCAAUAAUGGCUAAUAAUUUAAAAUGUUGUGCUCACUGAAAAGCCAAUUGAGUUCAAUACAUUCUUACUAAGGAAGGUUUAGAACGAAACCUACCUACGCCGAUGCCUUAUCUUUUAGCUAUUAAUCUUUCUCAUCUUCCUCGUUCUAAGUUGACUUCUUCUAUUCAUGUCGAGUGAUUGUUGAAAUUUAAUAGUUUAAAUAGAUGAGAUUUAAGGUUUUUUAAUAUGUGUGAAUUGGAAAAGUCUCCGAUUGGUAGAUGACCAAUCGUGACCUUUUAAAUGCAAAUGGCGAAUACUGGAGAGUUAUAAAUUUUCAAAUUGGCUGUGGCAUUUCAAAAAGGUACAUGUUAAAAAGUGAUGACUUUUUGAUAGAGUAUGAUAUGGACCAUUAGAUCAUGAUCCAUUUUGAAAAGGUGCCACCUAAUGAUUCAAAUUAAUUUAUGAUUAAAUUGAUUUCGAAUUCAUCAUUUCUCCAAAUUUGUAAAAAUAAUUCUCAAAUUAUUUUCUAGUGUUAGUGUUCAAGAUUUGGGUGGCUUGACAAAAUUAAUCAUGUUAGAAUCAGUGCAUGGGACAAAAUUUGUUUUAAGGAACUCGCAUUCCUCUUUUCAUUUUAUGUCUUUAUAAUUACUCCAUUUUCUACGUUUCAGUAAACCGCAAUUUGUGCGUAUUUUCAUGCACAUUCUAGUUUCAAUGAGUCAAAAUCCUGUUUGACAUUUUGCACUAAUAAGUUAAGAUUUUAUUACGUUUAUAUGCACAUAUUUUUUAUUAAUAGAAUAUAAUCUAUGCACCAAUUUAUUCAACGUACAUUUACAUUAAUCUAAAAAAUAUUAUGGCUAAGAUAUACAUACAAAAUCACUUGUUACUGGUCUUUAUAAUUACUCCAUUUUCUACGUUUCAGUAAACCGCAAUUUGUGCGUAUUUUCAUGCACAUUCUAGUUUCAAUGAGUCAAAAUCCUGUUUGACAUUUUGCACUAAUAAGUUAAGAUUUUAUUACGUCUAUAUGCACAUAUUUUUUAUUAAUAGAAUAUAAUCUAUGCACCAAUUUAUUCAACGUACAUUUACAUUAAUCUAAAAAAUAUUAUGGCUAAGAUAUACAUACAAAAUCACUUGUUACUGUCGAAGGGAGUUGACCGCAAAAUAGAGCCUCCAUAAUCUUUAUAAGCAAUAUUCAAAUGCAAAAAUUAGGUCAAACCAAAAAUAAUUACAGAAAGAAUUAGAGUGGAAUACACUCAAGAAAUUUCAUUAGCUUAACGUUUAUUCACACACACACACACACACACACACAUAUAUUUAUUUAUUUAUUAUUAUUAUUAUUAUUUAUUUAUUAUUAUUUUUUUCAAUAAUAAGCUUUCAAAACUUGGACGGACUGAUGGGCUCUAUGGAAAAAAUUAGAAAUUAACAAUGUUUCUCUCAAUUACCUAAUUUUUAAGAAGAGAGAUGCCAAUUAUAUUAGGUUAAUAAAAUCCUUGAUCUCAUAGUACUUUAAUAUAUAUUUUUAUUUUUUAAUUCAAACCAUCAAUACAAAAAUAAAUAAAGGAGAGAAAACAAAACUUUGGACUAGAACAAAUUCAAAAUUUGAGUUCAAAUGACUCAGAAUUAAAGAAAACUUCCCUUUCUCUCAUCAUGUCCAGGGUUAAAUAUUGAACUAUAAAAUUUCUUUGAGUUGCUAUUGAAUGUUAGGUGUUUGUUUUUGUUUUUUUUUUCAGUUGCAUUUUAAAUUUAAAAGUUCUCCAAGUUGUCAUCAAACUUAUCAAAAUGCUAUUUAAUUUGCCACUUUAUCAAUUGCUUUUUUGAAGUUAACAGACUUGACGACAUAGAAGAGAGAAUGACGGAUGACAUAAUAUUUUAAUAAGUUUUGACGUUCGUUCACUUUUAAAAAGGCGAAGGACAAAGUGACGAAUGUGAUUACAUUUUGAUAAAUUCAAUAUUAACUUGGAGAGUUUAUAAAAUUUAGUGGCCAAGGAGAAGUAUUUGAGAAUGUUUAGCGAUAGUUCUAAGUACUUUAAAAUUUAAAUCAUAGCGGUGAAACAUUUGAAAAUGCUCAUUAAGUCACAUCCUAUAGAAAACAGAAUGAAAGAUGAAAGUUAAUUGUAUUACUUUCUUAUUAUUAAUUUACAGCCUUAUGAAUUGAAUUUAUAGUACAAGUAAGGAACCAAGGAAGGUAAGAUUCUAAAACGGAAAAGAGAAACAGUUUUGCCAUUCAAACAGGGCCAAUGAUAAGCCCUGUUGAUAGGCCGAGGUGUUGCCACCUCGAUCGUGGACUUACAACCCGGGAUUUAAUCUCGAGUUUUGUAGUAGAACUCAAAGAGAAAUUUACCUAAUCUAAAUAAGGUACCUAAUCAAAGAUAAUUAAUUAUAUAAUAAUACAAAAUAUUUCUUUUAACUCUCGAGAUUUCUACACUCUCUCAAGUUAAAUCGUAAAUAUUGAUGAUAUCCAACUUGCUAAUUAAAUUCUCUAAAUUUUGUCAAGUAGUCCUUUGGUGAAGAUAUUUGCAAUUUGUUCUCUUGUAGGCAUAUAGAUCAUGCAUAGAAUCCCGUCUUCAACUUUUUUCUUUGAUGAAGUGUCUAUCCACUUUUACGUGUUUAGUUCAAUCAUGUUGGAUUGAAUUGAGGAAGAUAUUGAUAGUAACUUUGCUAUCGCAAUAGAGUUUGAUCGGAAGGUUUAUCAUAGUCUGUGAUUUUUCUUGUAGUUUCUUUAUCCAUAGAGGUACAAUAGCUUAUAGUUGAUCUUCUUUCUUCUAUUGAUCCAGCUUAAUCUGCUUCAGUAAAGACUUUUUUACUUCUUCAUUUCAUUUUCCUUGAAGAAGAGUCCAUUUUCAAGAGUACCUUUGAGAUAUCUAAAUAUUCUAUAUAUUACUCUAAGCAAACUUCCUUUGGAGAAUGCAUGUAUUGGCUUACCACACUAACCGCGAAUGUAAUGUCAGGUCUAGUUUGUGAUAGGUAGAUUAGUUAGCCAACUAGCCAUUGAUAUCUAUCUUUUUUAACUGAUUUUCCAGUGUUUUCUCCUUUUCUUUCUUGGCCCAUAGUAGUGUCACUUGGUUUACAUCCAAGUAUGCCUGUUUCAGUUAGAAGACUAAGAAUGUAUUUUUGCUAUGAAACAUUGAUUUCCUUAUUUGAUUUGGCUACUUCCAUUCCCAAGAAAUAUCUCAUCCGUCCUAGAUCAUUUACUUCUAACUCUGUGGCUAGGCUUUUCUUAAGGCUCUCUAGCUCCACUAUAUAGUCUCUAGUUAGUAUUAUGUCUUCAACAUAUACAAUCAGGUGUGCUUUCGUUCCAACUUCAGAUAGUUGAUAGAAUAUCGUAUGAUCUAACUAUCACUAUUGAUAUUCUUGACUUUUUAAUACUCUUUCAAGUCUAUCAAACCAUACUUUUGGUGACUGUUUGAGAUACUACAAAGAUUUUUUAAGUCUAUAUACUUUGUUUUCUUCAUUCCUAUUACAAAAACUUGGAGGUAACGUCAUGAAGACAUUUCCUUCUAAUUCUCCAUUCAAAAAUGUAUUUUUGAUGUCAAGCUAUUGGAGAGGCCAAUCCAAGCUUGCUGCUACAGACAAGAUGACCUGAAUUGUGUUCCAUUUUGUUACAGGGUCAAUUGUUUUUGUGUAAUCAAUGCUAUAGGUCUGUGUAUAUCUUUCUAUAACGAAAUGAGCUUUGUACCAUUCAAUUGUCCCAUUAGCUUUGUAUUUCACAUUGAAGACCUAUUUGCAACCAACACGUCUUUUCCCUCUUGAUAACUCUAACACAUCCCAAACUUCAUUUUUUUCCAGCGCUUGCAUUUCUUCUAGAAUUGCACAUAUCCAUUUUGGAGUAGUCAUGGAUUCUUAAAUAUCCCUUGGAAUUUCUGUAUGAUAAAGGUUAGAAAAAAAUGUGGGAAACCCUACAGAUAGAGCAUUACAAAAAAUGAAUUUUGAGAUAGGACGAAGAGUACGUGACCGUGAUUAUUUCCUAAGGGCAAUAGGUAAGUCAUUGUAGGAGGACUCAAUUUUGUCUAAAACAGAAAGAGUCUCAUGGAUAUUUGGAGCUAUCAUCGGUUCUAACUCUUUUGAUGCCUCGGGUGUGAGGUUUUCCCUCUACAUUUGCUUUAGCUUCCUUAAGUAAAACUAAUAUCUCAUUAUCGACUUGUUAUCCUACGUCUUCCAUUUAGUUUAAGUUUCCUUCUGUAAAUGGCAUAUUAAGAUGAGGAGUGGAUGAAAGGGUGUUUAUGAUAGGUUCGGUGGCUGAGAGAUCAAAGUCGAAGAAUUGAUCUUUUCUUGGGAACCGAUCUUCACUCCAAUUCUCCCCUUGAAGAAAGGGUUUUUUGAAGUGCUGGGGGGGGGUAACAAGCACCUUUCUUGUGGACAAAUCGUAGCAUUUGUAGCACUUUUGGGUAUGUAAGUAUACGGUGAUGAGGGUGUACAUGGAUGAAUGCAAGUACAAUCGAAUAUUCAGAGGGAUAAUUUUGAAUCAAGAUCAGAAUUAGGAAAAGAUUCUUGGAAUUUUUGAAGAGGUGAUUUGAAUGAGAAAAUACAACUACGCAUUCUGUUUUAUGAGAUAAGUCGAGGUUAAGAUGGCAUCUGCCCAUAAUAGUUUGGACAUAUUUGUAGUUAACAUCAAUGUACGAGCAAUCUCAAUGAGGUGUCUAUUUUUUCGUUUUGGCAAUCCUAUUUUGUUGGAGAGUGUCGACACAAGAACUAUGAUGGAUUAUUCCAUGUUUUUGAAAAUAUUCUUUCAAGGUACUUUAAAGUAUUAUGUAUCGUUAUCAGUUUGCAAAAUUUGAAUUUUUGUUUGCAAUUUUGUUUGGAUCAUCCAAUGAAAAUUUAUAAACACAGUUCGAGUAUCAACCUUUUCUUUUAGGAGGUGAACCCAACAAAUUCAAGUAUGAUCAUCAAUAAAUGUUACUAACCAUUUUUUUGUGAGUUUGUUUAGGGGUUCGAGAGGUACCCCAUAAAUCACAAUGAAUUAAGGUGAAUGAUUUCGAUGGUUUGUAUGUAAAUUUUUGAAAGGAAGUACGACGAUGUUUUGUCAAUUCACAAUUCUCAUAUUGAAGGUUAGUGGUCAUUUUAAUUGGAAGGAUGGUCAGUAAUAUAUGUUGUAAGUACUGAAAAUUGGGAUGACCCAUUCUAAAAUGCCAUAAUAGAAUUUCACUAUCUUUAGGAAUAAAAACAUAAUCAAAAGUUACAAUGCGAUUUCGUUUACUCACACCUAUCCCUUUAAAGUAACAAAAUUCCUCAUAUUCCUUAGCACUGUCAAUUGUCAUUCCCAAUGAUAUGCUCUAAAAUAUACAAAACAUGGGAGGAAUUUAGUUAAGCAAUUAGAAUUUUCCAUUAAUUACUAAUUGAGAGUAAGUUACAAGAGAGAUUUGAAAUGUGAAGAAUAAACUCUAGGGAUACGGAGUUAAAGAUUUGAAUGCUCCAUCUUCCUGCUAUAAUUACUGGUAAUGUGGACAAAUGCUGAGGUCAAGAAUGUUGUUAUGGGCCAGUUCCAUGAUGCAUUGUACCUUGGCGAUGUGCAUGAGCGUGUCAAGAUUCUGGAGAAUGUAGGACAUCUGCCCCUUGUAUAGAUAACUGCUUCAGUCCAUGGGCUCCAUGAUACAGUUAAACCUCGAUAAGGUAAUACCCUCGGGAUCGGAAAAAAAUAUUUAUUUAGUAGAUUAUUUAUUUAUCGAUGAAUGAAUAAAUUAUUCAUUUAUCGAUAAAUAAAUAUUUAUUAUUUUAGAGAGAGCUUUUCAAUAUAAAAUAUGUACAUUGUAUGUGGUAAGAAAAAUCAAAAGACACUAAUCAAAGUAUUAUUUGAAUCUAGGGAAGCUCAAAAGUUUUAGUGAAACUUAAUGUCUCUAAAAACUAAGUUCACGUACAUAGCAAAUGAAAAAGUUUAGUCUUUAUCUAUAAAAGCUAAAUGUUUGGAAGACAUAUUCCAAGCACAUAUAAUAUUUUGUUUCCCCUCCAAUGUCUUCUCAUCAUUUGAAAGGAGUAAAAAAAUCAACUUUAACCGAUAAAAUGAAGAGUGCAAUAUGUGAGCAUAAGAAAGAGAUUCCAACUAUUAGUCAAAAAGAUAUACAAGCAUGGGCAAAUCGGCAAAAUACCCUGAUUUAGAGAAAGUUUUGUAUGAGUGGUUUCUUCAAAGGCAAGAUAAGUGAACAUAUCUGGGGAAAUUAUCUAAGGAAAAGCAAAAGAGCUUUUGCAAAAAAUGUAUGGUGAAACUAAUCCAAAAUUCAGCUUUUCUAAUGGAUGGUUAGAACGUUUCAAGGCAAGAUAUGGAAUCAAAUCUUAUCGACGUUUUGGUGAAAGUGGUUCAGUUAUCAUGGAGAACAUUGAAAAUGCUUUACCUGGAAUACGAUCAAAACUAGACCAGUUUCAGCUGAAGGAUAUUUACAAUAUGGAUGAAACUGGAUUAUUUUACCGGUUGGAAGUUGAUCAUUCACUUGCUACCAAGCAGCUCGAAGGAUGAAAAAAAAUAAGGAGAGAAUUACUGUUGUUAUUUGUUGCAAUGGUGAUGGAUCUGACAAAGUACCACUUUGGGUUAUUGGUAAGUAUGCAAAUCCUAGAUGCUUUAAAAAUGUGAACAAGUAUCGAUCCAACAAGAAAGCUUGGAUGACUGGAUUGCUUUUUCAAGAUUUUGUUGGUUGGUUUGAUAAGAGAAUGAAUGGCAGGAAGGUUCUCUUAAUAGUAGACAAUUGCCCAACUCAUCCAAAGGUAGUUGAAGGCUUGAGAAAUGUAGAGUUAUUUUUCUUACCUCCUAACACAACGUCUAAGAUUCAACCAUGUGAUGCUGAGAUUAUUCGAGCAUUCAAAACUCAUUAUCGUCAUCAUUUUUAUUCUAGCAUCUUACAAGGACUUGAGGUUGAAGCACCAAAUCCUGAAAAAAUUAAUAUUUUGAAUGCUAUUAAUUUUGCUAACAUGGCUUGGAAUUUUGAUGUGAAGAUAACAACAAUUGCAAAUUGUUUUCGGCGUUGCAAGAUUCUGUCAGAAGAAAAUAAUGUUCUCGAACCAGAAGUUGGUGAAUUAGAUGAAGGUAUCCAAGGAUUAAAUGAUGUCAUCUCUAAUUUACACUAUAGAAAUGUGACGGAUGUUGAACAUCUUUUGAACUAUCCUAACGAGAAUGAUGCAGUUAUGGAAUCACCUACAGAUGAAGAAAUUAUUCAAUUGGUAAUGAACAGUAAUGAUGAUGAGAAUGAUCCUGAACCAGAUGAUAGUAGCGUUGUCCCAAAUGUGUCGUCAAAAGAGGCAUUUUAAACAAUAGUCACCUUAAGCAACUACUUGCUACAACACGAGCAAAAUAUUCCGGAAGUUGUGUAUGUUCUACAAAAAGUUAAGGAUGAGGUUCAUUUUGAUUUAGGUGGGAAGAAAAAACAAUCAACUAUAGAUGCAUAUUUUCAAAAGGAACGAUUAUUGUACGGGUAUUGUUGAUUGAUUGAAAGAUUUUGGUCUAUAUAUAUAUAUAUAUAUAUAUGUUUUUUUCUCAAUGGAAUCCAGUAAUUAUUACUUUAUAUUUUUAUCAGGCCCUUAAGGAUUCAAUUUUUUUUUAUUACUUAAUGCAUUUAGCGAGGUUAUUACUUUAGUCCAUUGGCUCAAGUUGGGAUCGAAAGAAAUUAUUAUAUAAUCGAGGUUAUUACUUUAUCGAACAUUACUUUAUCGAGAUUUAACUGUAUUGCUAAUCGAUUAGCUGUGGAGCUAGGGGAUAAUCUUCCAUCUUUGCCUGAGGGGAAGAAAGCUUCUCUGUUGAUGCCUCCAAGUCCUGUUUUAUGUGCUGGAGAUUGGCCUUUAUUAAUGGUCAGUAAAGGAAUAUUUGAGGGUGGUCUUGAUGAUGCAGGCAGAGAUGAAGAGGAGGAUUAUGAAGAGGCUGCAGAUGCUGAUUGGUGUGAGGCGUUGGAUAUUGAUGAAGUGGAAAACAGGCAAAAUGGAGACAUUAGUAUGGUGCUGGAGGAUGAGGAUGUGCACGAAGAAACUGAAGGAGGAUGGGAUCUUAAGGAUCUGGAUCUUCCUCCGGAUAUUGACACGCCAAAGAUGGCUCCAAAUGCACGCUCUUCUGUAUUUAUUGCUCCAAACCCUGGCAUGCCUGUAAGCCAGAUUUGGGCCCAAAAAUCAUCUCUUGCAGCUGAACACGCAGCUGCUGGAAACUUUGACACAGCAAUGCGUUUAUUGAAUCGUCAAUUAGGGAUAAAGAACUUCUCUCCAUUGAGAUCACUGUUCAUGGAUCUUCACAUGGGCAGUCACAAUUAUUUACGUGCAGUGUCCCUGGCCCCAGUGAUUUCUGUAGCAAUCGAGAGGGGUUGGAGCGAGUCAGCAAGUCCAAAUGUGCGGGGUCCACCUGCACUUGUGUUCAAUUUCUCUCAGUUGGAAGAGAAGCUUUCGGCUGGUUACAAGGCUACAACUGCUGGAAAAUUUUCUGAAGCCAUUCGGUAUUUUGUGGCUAUUCUUCAAACAAUUCCGCUUAUUGUUGUUGAGUCACGAAGAGAGGUGGAUGAAGUUAAAGAGUUGAUUAUCAUUGUGAAGGAGUAUGUUCUGGGUUUGCAG
rnacentral:lncRNA from 1 species